UACAGAGGUCUCAAGCGUUGUUCGGAUUCAUUGGGCGUAAAGGGCGCGUAGGCGGCGGGGUAAGUCGGGUGUGAAAUCUCAGAGCUCAACUCUGAAACUGCACUCGAUACUGCUCUGCUUGAGGACUGGAGAGGAGACUGGAAUUCACGGUGUAGCAGUGAGAUGCGUAGAUAUCGUGAGGAAGACCAGUGGCGAAGGCGGGUCUCUGGACAGUUCCUGACGCUGAGGCGCGAAGGCCAGGGGAGCAAACGGG
rnacentral:rRNA from 1 species